CUGGGCUCCGGCCCGGCAGCAGGAAGUGACUCGCAGCCGCUGCGGUGACUCUGGCUCCCAGGCUCCUGGCGAGAUCCCCGAGCCCCGGCGGCUGGUGCUGGGAGCCCGGAGCCCUGGCUGCAGCCGGGAGAGGGGAAUCUCCAGCAGGGCCCUUCCCGCUGCUCCCCAGGAGCCUCUCCCAGGGCAGAGCCCCCAGCCCGGCCCGGCCCCUGCCCCUGCCCCUGCCCCGGGGGGCCCCGCUCGGAGGGAAGGUGAGAGAGACCCGCCCCCCCCCCGUCACUCCCGGGCUGCGGGGGCGGAGGCUAAAGAGGUGCAGGGGUGGCGGCAGGAGACGGGUGCUGGGGCUGCGGGGGGCAGGCUGGGAUGGGGGCGGGGGCGCACUGAAGGGAAGAUGGGGCGUUGCGGGCGGAUCUUGGGGAUUGUGGGGCUGAGGGGAGCGAGGCUGGAAUGGGGGAAGAUGUGAGUGGGGGGCACUGCGAGGGAAGGGGGGAUGUGGGGAGGCGGGAGGAGAACAGAGGCAGAAACCCAGCCCCCCACUUCUGCUCCCAGCGUGUUUUUAUUGUCAGACACCCCCGUGUUGGCGGGGUCUCUGUCCCAUGAGUUUUGGGGUAUGCCCAGGGCCCUGGUCUGAUUUCUGGGCAGGAUUCACAUCUCAGCCCCCCGGGAAUCACUGCUGCUUUGGGCAGGCAGGGAGUGUGGAUGGGUCAAUGGGCUCUGCCUCUGCCUGCCUGUCCCUGGGAGCUGCUGCAGGAGUCCAGGGCAGCUCAUUCUUCAGGCUGAGGAAUCACGUCCAUUUUUUGGUCCAGAUGGGCCCAUCUUCCAGAACGCAGGGAAGGGAAAUGUCUGUGAUGGAGCCAGCUGCGGUAGGGGAUUUUCUCAGAGCUCUUGAGGGAGUAGGGGCAGGAAAGAGACCAGGUGUGAUAAACCUGCUGAUUUUCUGAGUGGGCCCAUUGGUGAUGGGGGAUGGGAGACGGGACAUUUCCUCAUUUCUCAAACAGGAUACAACUCCCUUGGACAGGGCUGGGAACAUUUUCCAGGCUCCCAGUGCUGGAGUGAGACCCCACUGGCCAGAGACUGCUGUGAAAUAUGCAGUGAAGCUCUUUGGAUUCCUUUCCCUGUCCCUGGCUCAGAGCUCUGCUUCCCGCAUCAGCCUGUGGCUGGCAGGUGUGUGGGAAAUGAGAAGACCCUGCCCUGCUCCAUGUACUGGGGGGGACAAGGAGCUCUCACCUUCUCCCACCCCCGAAGCCUCCUGGCUGCUCUGAGCAGGGUGGGGGUGGGAUUCUGCAACUCUGGCCCUCCCCGAGCUUCCAUUUCUUUAUCCUUCCUCUCACGUGACUAGUGGGAUUGUGGCUGGAGCAGCAGGUAAUGACUGGGUCCUUUUGGUGUUUCAGAUGCCGGUGACUUUCGAGGAGGUGGCUGUGUAUUUCACCCAGGGGCAGGGGGCUCUGCUGGACCCCGCUCAGAGAGCCCUCUACAGGGACGUCAUGCAGGAGAACUACGAGAUGGUGACCUCGCUGGGUAAGGGAUUCCUGUCCCCUCAGAUACUAGAAGCCGUGGGGUCUGCUU
ensembl:lncRNA